rnacentral:rRNA from 1 species
CAAUUCGAAACACCUCAACUUUUUCAGAACAGGUCCGAGUCAAAUAGCAAUGAUUCGAAGCACUUCUUUUUCCAUUACACUAUUUCGGAAACCUAA